GUAGCUUGGAAUAUGUUUAUAUGAAAAAGGACAUUAAAUUGAAAAUUUACUUUGCAUGACUCUGUCGUGUGUACUUUUAUCAAUGUAGAUAUGUGGAAUAGAAAAUCAAAUUUCAUUAAAUAAAGUUUAUAUAAAAUUCCGUCGUUGUAUAUUCUAGUGAACUACUAAGAUAUGAAGAAUGUAUAUUGAAUGAAACUGUCAUUUUAUAACCAUAAUCUUUUGGGAUAUCUUCUAACAUUAUUUCAUUGCAAGAAUUAAAUUUAUUUAGUGAAUCUAAAUAAAGAUUUUUUUAUACAGGGCAACAAAGAUUUUCUAUGAAAAUAUCUGGCAUCUCUGCGUUUCACCAUAACACCUUGUUUAGCUGUCAAACGUUCACCGAGUUUCAGAAGAUACUGAAGUUGCUUCGCCUUAGAUUCGCCAAGUUCUCCUUAUUCUGCAAUUUGUUGUAAUCAUGAGGAUUCCAUUGGGCAGGAAGCAAGCUGAACAGGCUUCCCUGUGGCUCUCGUCAGCGAUGGGAUUCGGUGCUACUGCUUCUCUCUUCGGACUCUAC